rnacentral:lncRNA from 1 species
AAAAAUUACAACUAUAAUAAAAUUUUCCAUUUUGACUUGAUGUUGUUCACUUCUUGUUGUGAUUUGAUAUGCUACACUCUGUAUUAUGAAUAUGGUAAAUCAUUAGAAAAAUAAAUAUAUCAAGAUUUGGUUUGGGUAGUUAUUAGAAUAAAAAAACCUCUAAGCCUAGACCCCACCUAGGCAUCGCCUAAUUUCUUGGAGAGGUUUUUUUGCCUCUUUGGGCCCAAGUGAGGCGCUAGUGGGGUCUAGCACCUAGGCGAGGCGCUAAGGGGGAGCCUAGGGCCUAGGCGGGGCGCCAAGAGGGGGCCUAGCGCCUAGGUGGAGAUUUUUAGAACACUG